AAACAAUUAACUACUUAUUUUUAAUUUGGCUCAAAAGUUAAAAAUAUAUUUUAAGUAAGAAGUUAAACCAGUCCAUGAAACAAAUUGAACGGUACAAAUCCAAAAUCCAAAUGAUCAAAACAACAACCAAAAUGCUUCUUAACUAAGCCACGUUCCAAAAUAGAAAAUUAUAAUUUUCUGCACAAACUUAUCUCAAAAGGCAUUGUUACGAUAACUGAUGCUAUUUUGGACUUCGAAAUUCAAUCCACCAAUCUCUUACAAUCAAAAGUUGUAUUAUCGUCUCCCAUUAUUUAUGUAAGGAGUAGUUGCUCAGCUUAGAGACUGAUCCAACUAAUUUCAUACAAGACAAUGCAUGAUAGCACGAUUGAUCAGCCAAAAUGGGAAAAAAAAAUUCACAAUUUCAUUCCCACGCACAAAAAAAAAUCUCCAAGAGAGUGAAUAGGAGAAAAAUUUUAAAUUAAAAAAAAUGAAAAAGGAAAUCAGAAUGUACUAACAAAGAUGUCCAAGGAUUAGCUAGAAAAUUGCAAUAGACCAAAUUCUAGGGUUUCAGGGGGAAAAGAACCAUUAUUCAGAAAAAGGGCAGAUAAUGGAAGUUGAACCUGAGAUUGGGCAUCGAAUUGAUUACAGUCAGCAGAAAUAGACUCGUAGAUGCGUUUCCUUUGCUCAAAAACAACAAAACCCAC
rnacentral:misc_RNA from 1 species